rfam:Dipodomys ordii contig_5313, whole genome shotgun sequence.
GGGAAGGUAGCUCAGUGGUAGAGUGCUUGUCUUGCAUGCAUGAGGCCCUGGGUUCAAUUUCUUAGCACCA